UCCUACGGGAGGCAGCAGUGAGGAAUAUUGGUCAAUGGUCGGGAGACUGAACCAGCCAAGCCGCGUGAGGGAUGAAGGUACAGAGUAUCGUAAACCUCUUUUGUCAGGGAACAAAGGCGGGGACGUGUCCCCGGAUGAGUGUACCUGAAGAAAAAGCAUCGGCUAACUUCGUGCCAGCAGCCGCGGUAAUACGGAGGAUGCGAGCGUUAUCCGGAUUUAUUGGGUUUAAAGGGUGCGUAGGCGGUCCGGAAAGUCAGCGGUAAAAGCCCGGGGCUCAACCCCGGCGAGCCGUUGAAACUGUCGGG
rnacentral:rRNA from 1 species